rnacentral:rRNA from 1 species
AACGAACGCUGGCGGCGUGCCUAACACAUGCAAGUCGAGCGCGAAAGGGCUUCGGCCCCGGUAGAGCGGCGCACGGGUGAGGAACACGUGAGUAAUCUACCCUUCGGCGGAGGACAACUGCUGGAAACGGCAGCUAAUACCGCGUACAGUCUUGGGAUCGCAGGGUUUCAAGAGCAAAGAGGGCUUCGGCUCUCACCGGAGGAUGAGCUCGCGUCCCAUUAGCUAGUUGGCGGGGUAACGGCCCACCAAGGCUCAGAUGGGUAACUGGUCUGAGAGGAUGAUCAGUCACACUGGAACUGAGACACGGUCCAGACUCCUACGGGAGGCAGCAGUGGGGAAUAUUGCGCAAUGGACGAAAGUACUGACGCAGCAACGCCGCGUGGGUGAUGAAGGCCCUUGGGUCGUAAAGCCCUCGUCAGGAGGGAAGGAAUGAGCAGGUGGUUAAUACCCAUCUGAAGUGACGGUACCGUCCAAAGGAAGACACCGGCUAACUCCGUGCCA